GAUGAACGCUGGCGGCGUGCCUAAUACAUGCAAGUCGAGCGAACAGACGAGGAGCUUGCUCCUCUGACGUUAGCGGCGGACGGGUGAGUAACACGUGGAUAACCUACCUAUAAGACUGGGAUAACUUCGGGAAACCGGAGCUAAUACCGGAUAAUAUAUUGAACCGCAUGGUUCAAUAGUGAAAGACGGUUUUGCUGUCUCUUAUAGAUGGAUCCGCGCCGCAUUAGCUAGUUGGUAAGGUAACGGCUUACCAAGGCAACGAUGCGUAGCCGACCUGAGAGGGUGGUCGGCCACACUGGAACUGAGACACGGUCCAGACUCCUACGGGAGGCAGCAGUAGGGAAUCUUCCGCAAUGGGCGAAAGCUUGACGGAGCAACGCCGCGUGAGUGAUGAAGGUCUUCGGAUCGUAAAACUCUGUUAUUAGGGAAGAACAAAUGUGUAAGUAACUGUGCACGUCUUGACGGUACCUAAUCAGAAAGCCACGGCUAACUACGUG
rnacentral:rRNA from 1 species